AGUGAACGCUGGCGGUAGGCCUAACACAUGCAAGUCGAACGGCAGCACAGUAAGAGCUUGCUCUUACGGGUGGCGAGUGGCGGACGGGUGAGGAAUACAUCGGAUUCUACUUUUUCGUGGGGGAUAACGUAGGGAAACUUACGCUAAUACCGCAUACGACCUACGGGUGAAAGCAGGGGAUCUUCGGACCUUGCGCGAUUGAAUGAGCCGAUGUCGGAUUAGCUAGUUGGCGGGGUAAAGGCCCACCAAGGCGACGAUCCGUAGCUGGUCUGAGAGGAUGAUCAGCCACACUGGAACUGAGACACGGUCCAGACUCCUACGGGAGGCAGCAGUGGGGAAUAUUGGACAAUGGGCGCAAGCCUGAUCCAGCCAUACCGCGUGGGUGAAGAAGGCCUUCGGGUUGUAAAGCCCUUUUGUUGGGAAAGAAAAGCAGCAGGUUAAUACCCCGCCGUUCUGACGGUACCCAAAGAAUAAGCACCGGCUAACUUCGUG
rnacentral:rRNA from 1 species